GGAGGAUUUUUCCACUGGUGCAAAAAAAGGGUUCUGAGAAUUCUUUUUUACACAGGAAAAUACAGAGACAACGGCCACGGGGGCUGAAGGGCUCAGCCUGGGCUCCUUGCUCUGGGAACCAGCCCUUAGGUCAGUGGUGGAUAAUCCAAACUGGGGGGGGAAAUCAAGGGUCUGGUGCCCAGCUGUUGCAAAUUAGUCAAAUUGUUAAGAUUUUAAUGAGUUUGACAACUGAAAUCGCCUGUGCUGAUAAUUCCCUUGCACGUUCCUGGGGAGAGGCAUUGUAAGAAGAAGAAGGGCAAGUUGUUCCUCUUGGAAAUCCUUUCACCUUCUUUAUGCAGAGAGGAAAGAUAUCAGGGAAGCUGAGCUCUGGAUGGUCUCUGUGGGUUGGAGGAACUUUGAGACAGGGAUCUGGCUUGGCUCUGUGGUGGUAUUAGGGAGUAGGAUUAUCUCCCUAUCCAAGUAGGGUAAAUCAGGAGGAAAAUGUACUGAAGUGGUGGGAAUGAGCCAUCAGGGCAGCAGAACAGCCUGUGCCAUGGGGAAACAGCAGCAGGAGAGGUCCUGGGGGGCUGGAAAGGGAGAUUUGACCCUGCUCAGAGGCUCUGGCCAGCCUGGGAAUGCACUAUCCUAUUAUUCUGGGAUUCUGUGACCCUGCAGGUUUGCAUGAGCUCCAGGAGCAACCUCCUGGCAUGGGGGAAUCCCUGCUGGCUGUGCCCUGCCCAGGACAAGGGACAUCAUUUGGGGUCAGCUCUGGUAAGUCACAAAACCCCCAGGGCUGGGACCCCAACUCCAGUUCAAGACAUGGGAACCCCCGUCAACAAUGAUGUGUAAAAUCAGCAGAAAAACUGCUUUCCUCUCUCCUUGGAUUCCUUGUCCUGCUUGCAGGAAUCAGGGACCCUUCCCUCCACUGGGGAGCCAGAAGGAUCCCCAGUCUCGGCCAACCUUUUGUCUUGGUACAGCCCUGGCCUUUGUGCUUUGUAUUAAUUUAAGAUGCUGUGAAGUGAGAGCUGUGGGGGUGGGAGAUGCUGUCUAAAACUUGUUCAGAGCCUUUGCUGGAUAAAUCCCCGUGGAAUUUCAUUUAAACGAGCUGACACCAGUAUGAAUCAUGCCAGCAUUACCCUCUCUCCAGCACUUCCUACCAACUGCCUGCAGGGCUCUUGCUUUUUCAAGUGAAGACUAAAAGCAUCUAAAACUGUUUAAGACCCAAAAGUCUUAAAAUAAUAGGUUGGGGUUUUUUUGGUUUUUUGGGGUUUUUUUUUGUUUUCACUGUGGAAGAAACAACAUCUGCUAUAAAAAUCUGCUGGCCAGGGGCAGUGGGAGCGGAUACCACUUAUCAGGGGUUGGAAAGUGCCUCAGCCCUGGGCCCCAUGAUCCCAGAGUGGUGUCUCAUCUGUCUGCAAGCUGGACAGAUUAGAUGUACACAGAGAGGAUGGAGAAGUAGGGAUAAAAGAAGGGACACGGGGAAUUCGGUGGAAGGAGGAAGGAAAUGAAAGCAAGACUUCCAGGAAAGGGAAGGAGACAACACUGUAUUUAUAAAUAUGUACCUGGGCUUAAGUGAAGGCUCCUAAAAGCUGCUGGGACACAGUCAGGCUGCUUUGGAAUAAAAUUCACGAGGUAGAGUGUCUGUUCCCCGGAUUUAACUGAAGAGUGACAUCUCUUCAGAGGCAGGAAAGUGGUCAGGAGUAAGCAUGAAACAUGUAAGAUUGCAGAAUUCAAAAGGAUAAACAUUAUUUGAUACCUUAUUUAUAGGGCACCACAGGGGAAAGGUAAAGGUUUCAGAAAAGAAAGAAGCACUUUAAUUUUAUCUGGAGAUUUUCCAACAAUAAAAUCUAAUCCAUCAUUCUCCGUGUGUGACUGCUCUUAAUGAAAAUUUAGAGGCUGUGAGUGAAAUUUAGAAUUCCCAGGGGAUACUAUUAGGAAGAUGUCUAGCAGCUAUGCAAAACCUGUUAGAUCAGAGCCCUGCCAAGGGCCGGGAAGAGUGGAGUGUGAAAGGAUAGCUUUUAAUUCCAUGUGCCGGGGCUCUGCAGGGCCCAGCCUUCCUCUCCUGGGUGGCAGCAGCACUCCUGGGAUGGCUCCCACCAGGAUCAGCUCACUGGGGGAUUUCAAAGAGACAAGACUUGGCCCAUUUACAUUUAUUUUUCCCCCAAAGAUCCUCUGCAGUGAUGAGAGUAGUUGAUCUCCUCUCUUCUCCCCUCCUCUCCAGGUUUCUUGCCCAGAUUUAGUGAUCACAGUUAGGAGCUUUCCAAAAAGCAGAGUGAACCUAUUUCAUCAGAGAAUCAUGGAAUGGGUUGGGUUGGAAAGGAUUUUAAAGAUCAUCCCAUUCCAUGGGCAGGGACACCUUCCACCAGACCAGGUUCAAACUUUGGACACCUCAGCCCAUCUUGGAGCUGCAGAGAGCCACAAAUUGCCUCUCAGCCUGACCCCAAGAUGAGCCCCAGCCUCGUGCAACAUCAAAAAAACAAGACCCCGUGGAAUGUGUGACCUUUCAUGGCAGAUGAUUUCCAAUCAUAGGACUCUGUUGGAUCUGAGUAAUUAAGGACAAGACAGGCCUGAAACUGCUCUGCCUGCAGACAGGAGGAGCCUGCAGAGUUCCCUGUUCCCAAAAGCAGGGCUGUGAGAUCUGAGAGCAGGGGCAGCACGGCCGGGUUGUUCCUGCCUCGGCUCCAGAGGGAACGUCCUCACUCCGAGGCUGGAAGGUGGGUGAGGAAAGGGUCAAAACACAUCCCCCCAACUGCAGGAGGAGAAGAAUGUUGGCAGAGCAAACCUUGCCACAGGAAUAAAAGGUUGUCCUGCCUGUUCAUAUUACUCCACACGGGAUGAGUAAAACUGUCGGUCGGUCGGUCGGAGUGAAGCGUCUGAUACACAAAAGGGAAUAAAAACUCAUUAAAGGGCUGAAAGAAAACCCUGUUAAAAUAGUGAAUAUACAAUGGAGGAGACUUGAUCACCCUCGUGCUCGAGGAGUGUCAGGCUUUGAAGGAAUCUGAUUUUUUUUUCCCCCUGAAAGCAGCGGAAAUGCGCUCUGUGGGGAGC